rnacentral:rRNA from 1 species
UAGUAUCAGCGUGCCAGCAGCCGCGGUAAGACAGAGGGUGCAAACGUUGCUCGGAAUCACUGGGCGUAAAGGGCGUGUAGGCGGGAAGGAAAGUCGGGCGUGAAAUCCCUGGGCUCAACCCAGGAACUGCACUCGAAACUUCUUUUCUUGAGUGCCGGAGAGGAAAGCGGAAUACCUGGUGUAGAGGUGAAAUUCGUAGAUAUCAGGUGGAACACCAGUGGCGAAGGCGGCUUUCUGGACGGUAACUGACGCUGAGACGCGAAAGCGUGGGGAGCAAACAGGAUUAGAUACCCUGGUAGUCCACGCUGUAAACGAUGAGUGCUAGGUGUCGUGGGUAUUGACCCCCGCGGUGCCGUAGCUAACGCAUUAAGCACUCCGCCUGGGAAGUACGGUCGCAAGACUAAAACUUAAAUGAAUUGAC